UGCUGUGCACUGCCAUCAAUUUGGGAAAC
rnacentral:piRNA from 1 species